UUUUAUCAACACUGCGCAUGUAAUCAACCCUGCCUCCGAUGGUAACCAUCUUUGACAAAAGUCAACGAAUAGAAGAACUUCCGCCGAAUCUUUCUUUCGUUCUCAGUCGUCUUCGAGUAUAGAAGCAUUAUGAGAGCUAAGUGGCGUAAGAAGCGUAUGCGAAGGUUGAAGCGUAAGCGCAGAAAGAUGCGUGCAAGGUCCAAAUAAAUUGAUACUGGAAAAC